rnacentral:rRNA from 1 species
GAUGAACGCUAGCUACAGGCUUAACACAUGCAAGUCGAGGGGAAACGAUAGAGAAAGCUUGCUUUUUCUAGGCGUCGACCGGCGCACGGGUGAGUAACGCGUAUCCAACCUGCCCAUCACUUGGGGAUAACCUUGCGAAAGUAAGACUAAUACCCAAUGAUAUCUCUAGAAGACACCUGAAAGGGAUUAAAGAUUUAUCGGUGAUGGAUGGGGAUGCGUCUGAUUAGCUUGUUGGGGGGGUAACGGCCGACCAAGGCGACGAUCAGUAGGGGUUCUGAGAGGAAGGUCCCCCACAUUGGAACUGAGACACGGUCCAAACUCCUACGGGAGGCAGCAGUGAGGAAUAUUGGUCAAUGGGCGAAAGCCUGAACCAGCCAAGUAGCGUGCAGGAUGACGGCCCUAUGGGUUGUAAACUGCUUUUAUAAGGGAAUAAAGUGAGUAUCGUGAGACUUUUUGCAUGUACCUUAUGAAUAAGGACCGGCUAAUUCCGUGCCAGCCGCCGCGGUAA